GACGAACGCUGGCGGCGUGCCUAAUACAUGCAAGUAGAACGCACAGUUUAUACCGUAGCUUGCUACACCAUAGACUGUGAGUUGCGAACGGGUGAGUAACGCGUAGGUAACCUGCCUGGUAGCGGGGGAUAACUAUUGGAAACGAUAGCUAAUACCGCAUAAUAUUAAUUAUUGCAUGAUAAUUAAUUGAAAGGUGCAAUUGCACCACUACCAGAUGGACCUGCGUUGUAUUAGCUAGUAGGUGAGGUAACGGCUCACCUAGGCGACGAUACAUAGCCGACCUGAGAGGGUGAUCGGCCACACUGGGACUGAGACACGGCCCAGACGCCUUCGGGAGGCAGCAGUAGGGAAUCUUCGGCAAGGGACGAAAGUCUGACCGAGCAACGCCGCGGGAGGGAAGAAGGAUGUCGGAUCGUAAAGCUCGGUUGUAAGGGAAGAACGGGUGUGAGAGUGGAAAGUUCACACUGUGACGGUAGCUGACCAGAAAGGGACGGCUAACUACGUG
rnacentral:rRNA from 1 species